GGGUUCACAGCACAGCUACAUCAUUGUGGGGAUGUGGAGCUGGUGGGAUCACACCAUGGCCUGGGUCCCUCUCCUCCUCACGGUGCUCGCCCACACCUCAGAUUCCCUGGUCCAGGCAGCACUGAUUCAGCCACCUUCGAUAUCAGCCAAGGUGGGCGACACCGUCAAGAUCACCUGCUCUGGCAGCAGCUACAACUGGUAUGGCUGGUACCAGCAGAAGGUCCCUGGCAGUGCCCCUGUCACUGUGAUCUAUGAAAACGACAAGAGACCCUCGAACAUCCCUUCACGAUUCUCCGGAUCCAAGUCUGGCAACAGGGGCACAUUGACCAUCACUGGGGUCCAAGCCGAGGACGAGGCUGUCUAUUUCUGUGGUAGCUACGACAGCAGCAGUAGUGCUGGUAUAUUCGGGGCUGGGACCAUGUUGACCGUCAAAGGUGAGUCGCCAAUUUCUUCUCGGUCUUUCCUUCACCGAGGCGAAAUU